GACGAACGCUGGCGGCGUGCUUAACACAUGCAAGUCGAACGGAAAGGCCCUGCUUGCAGGGUACUCGAGUGGCGAACGGGUGAGUAACACGUGGGUGAUCUGCCCUGCACUUCGGGAUAAGCCUGGGAAACUGGGUCUAAUACCGGCUAGGAGCCAUUUUUAGUGUGAUGGUUGGAAAGUUUUUUCGGUGUAGGAUGAGCUGGCGGCCUAACAGCUUGUUGAGGGGGUAAUGGCCUACCGAGGCGGCGAGGGGUAGCCGGCCUGAGGGGGUGGCCGGCCACAUUGGGACUGAGGGGCGGCACAGACAGCGACGGGAGGCAGAAGUGCGGAAGAUUGAAGAAGGGGCGCAGGCCGGAUGCAGAGAGGCCGCGGGUGGUAUGACGGUCUUAGGGUUGAAGAAUACUUUCGCUAGGGACGAAGCUUAUUGUGACGGUACCUAGACAGAAAGCCACGGCUAACUACGUG
rnacentral:rRNA from 1 species